CGAUGCAACGCGAAGAACCUUACCUGGUCUUGACAUCCCGGAGACCCUUAGGAAACUAGGGGUGCUUCCAUCUGGAGAAUCUGGAGACAGGUGCUGCAUGGCUGUCGUCAGCUCGUGUCGUGAGAUGUUGGGUUUAAGUCCCGCAACGAGCGCAACCCUUGCCUUUAGUUGCCAGCAGUUCGGCUGGGCACUCUAAAGGGACUGCCGGUGUUAAACCGGAGGAAGGUGGGGAUGACGUCAAGUCCUCAUGGCCUUUAUGACCAGGGCUACACACGUACUACAAUGGCCGAUACAAAGGGCAGCGACACUGCGAGGUGAAGCCAAUCCCGUAAAAUCGGUCUCAGUCCGGAUUGGAGUCUGCAACUCGACUCCAUGAAGUUGGAAUCGCUAGUAAUCGUGGAUCAGCAUGCCACGGUGAAUACGUUCCCGGGCCUU
rnacentral:rRNA from 1 species